GACGAACGCUGGCGGCGUGCCUAAUACAUGCAAGUCGAACGCAGUGGGGACGGGUGAGUAACAAGUGGGUAACCUCCCAUCAGAGGGGAUAACACUUGGAAACAGGUGCUAAAACAGAUACUGAUGGAUGGACCCGCGGUGCAUUAGCUAGUUGGUGGGGAAACGGCCCACCAAGGCCACGAUGCAUAGCCGACCUGAGAGGGUGAUCGGCCACACUGGAACUGAGACACGGCCCAGACUCCUACGGGAGGCAGCAGUGGGGAAGCUUCGGCAAUGGACGAAAGUCUGACCUAGCAACGCCGCGUGAGUGAAGAAGGUUUUCGGAUCGUAAAACUCUGUUGUUAGAGAAGCGGUAUCUAACCAGAAAGCCACGGCUAACUACGUGCCAGCCGCCGCGGUAAUUC
rnacentral:rRNA from 1 species